ACGAGUUUUGAAAGGGGUUGUAGCUGGCCUUUCACGAGGCAUGUGCACACCCUGCUCUUCCACUCUCAACCUCUGUGCACUAUUGUAGGCUUGGUGAAAGGCACUGACUCGCAAGGGUCAGCGCUGGAAGCCUCGUCUAUGUUUCACUACAAACGCUUCAGUUAUAGAAUGUAACACUUGCGGAUAACGCAUUUAUAUA
rnacentral:misc_RNA from 1 species